rnacentral:rRNA from 1 species
GACGAACGCUGGCGGCGUGCCUAAUACAUGCAAGUCGAGCGAGACUCUUCGGAGUCUAGCGGCGGACGGGUGAGUAACACGUGGGCAACCUGCCUGUAAGACUGGGAUAACACCGGGAAACCGGUGCUAAUACCGGAUAAUCCUUUUCCUCUCAUGAGGAAAAGCUGAAAGUCGGUUUCGGCUGACACUUACAGAUGGGCCCGCGGCGCAUUAGCUAGUUGGUGAGGUAACGGCUCACCAAGGCGACGAUGCGUAGCCGACCUGAGAGGGUGAUCGGCCACACUGGGACUGAGACCCGGCCCAGACUCCUACGGGAGGCAGCAGUAGGGAAUCUUCCACAAGGGACGAAAGUCUGAUGGAGCAACGCCGCGUGAGCGAUGAAGGCCUUCGGGUCGUAAAGCUCUGUUGUUAGGGAAGAACAAGUACCGGAGUAACUGCCGGUACCUUGACGGUACCUAACCAGAAAGCCACGGCUAACUACGUGCCAGCCGCCGCAGUAAGAC